rnacentral:rRNA from 1 species
UAGUGAGUUUGAUCCUGGCUCAGGAUGAACGCUGGCGGUCUGCUUAACACAUGCAAGUCGAACACGAAGUAGAAAUACUUGAGUGGCGGACGGGUGAGUAACGCGUGAGAAUCUGCCUUCGUGGUCGGGGACAACCACUGGAAACGGUGGCUAAUACCGGAUAUGCCUAUGGGUAGAAAGAUUAAUUGCCAGAAGAAGAGCUCGCGUCUGAUUAGCUAGUUGGAGAGGUUAAAGGCUCACCAAGGCAUCGAUCAGUAGCUGGUCUGAGAGGACGAUCAGCCAC